GUGCCAGCCGCCGCGGUAAUACGGAGAUGCGAGCGUUAAUCCCGGAUUCAUUGGGUUUAAAGGGUGCGUAGCGGACUAUUAGUCAUGGUGAAAUCCUGCACUUAACUGCGAACUGCCAUUGAUACUGAUACCUUAGUGGUUAAGUAGCGGAAUGUGUAAUGUACGGUAAAUGCUUAGAUAUUACACAGAACACCAAUUGCGUAGGCAGCUUACUGAGCCGACACUGACGCUGAGGCACGAAAGCGUGGGGAUCGAACAGGAUUAGAUACCCUGGUAGUCCACGCCGUAAACGAUGAUUACUCGCUGUUGGCGAUACACUGUCAGCGGCUAAGCAAAAGCAAUAAGUAAUCCACCUGGGGAGUACGGCCGCAAGGUUGAAACUCAAAGGAAUUGACGGGGGCCCGCACAAGCGGAGGAACAUGUGGUUUAAUUCGAUGAUACGCGAGGAACCUUACCUGAGCUUAAAUGUAGAGUGCAUUUUCUAGAGAUAGGAAUUCCCUUCGGGGCUUUCUGCAAGGUGCUGCAUGGUUGUCGUCAGCUCGUGCCGUGAGGUGUCGGGUUAAGUCCCAUAACGAGCGCAACCCUUAUCGUUAGUUGCCAUCUGGUAAAGCAGGGGGACUCUAGCGAAACUGCCACCGUAAGGUGAGAGGAACGGUGGGGAUGACGUCAAAUCAGCACGGCCCUUAUGU
rnacentral:rRNA from 1 species